UGACGUCUUUGCAUCUGCGGUAUAAC
rnacentral:piRNA from 1 species